GGGGUUGUGGCUCAACGGCAGAGCGCUUGCCUAGCAUGUAUGAGGCCCUGGGUUCGACCUCAGCACCA
rnacentral:tRNA from 1 species